AGGAUUUCCUAAGCUUGAAGUCCUUAAAUUCAAGAAGCUGGAGCCACUGGAGGAAUGGAAUGUGGAGAAAGGAGCACUGCCUAGUCUGAAAAGCUUGGAGAUCGAUGAAUGUAGAAAUUUAAUGAUGCUUCCCGAUGGGCUGCGGCAUGUUAGGACGCUCCGUGAAUUAAAAGUAACAAAAUUGCCAGUGUUAUCAUCAAGGAUCAAGGGCAAUCAGGGUGAGGAUUGGAAUAAAAUUGCUCAUGGGUGUCAUGUCCUCAUAGAAGAUUGAUAAUGCUGAGCAAAACUCAACUAUAAUGAGCAUGUAAUCCUCUGUUUCUAUAGCUUCUAAUAUUGUCUAAAUCACUGUUUAUUACUCUGUUUGUGAUGCUACAAUUAUCAACUUCUUGAUUAGUAACUCUCCUGAUUAGUAACUCAGAUUAUUUGAUUGCUAAAUCUGUAUUCCAUUUGCCCUUAUUGCUAAAUGAUUUAUUCCAGGAUUUGUC
rnacentral:misc_RNA from 1 species